CCGGCGGCGGCUGCGCGCCUCGUCCCGGCCCGUCCCGGCCCCGGUGCCGGCUGUCAGGGUCCCCACCGGCCGUGAUGGAUCGCUGCAAACUUUUUUUUGGCGGCGCUGAAAUGUUGAAGAGCGGGGGGGAGCCGCCCGUGCGCAUGUGCGAAGGUGUCCAAACUGACAAUGCUGGAGAGAUAGCGAGCCGGGAUUGAGAGAAAGGGAGAGUGUGUGUGCGGGAGAGGGAGAGGAGAGAGGGAGAGGGGGAGCGAAAAAGGAGGAAAAGCUCCGGGAGGAAAAAAAAAAAAAGCCCCCCCCUACCCCAAGCCCACGCCAGCAUCGGCCGCGGGACUGGCAGCAUGCGAUCCAAGGGCAGGGCGAGGAAGCUGGCCGCAAGCUGUGCCGAGGCAUUGCCUUCUCCAGGGCUGCUGGAAGAAAGGGCAGCCACGGAUACGUGUGGGAGGAGGGAAGCUAGCCUGCAAUGAAUAUUGUAUUUGGUGCUAAAUAUGUAACAAAGAGAAAGAAAUGCUCUUGAUGUAUUUUUGGCUACAGGGACUGGCAU
rnacentral:lncRNA from 1 species